GAUGCAUUAUAUGUGCCCAUGAUCUGUGCUGAGGAUUAUUAUUUUUUUUCCACCAAAUGACAACACAAAUGGCUGGUUAUUCAAUCUGUAAAUUAAACAGAUGGUACUUCUGUGCUUAAGCUAUAAUUUAAACUUUAUUUGUAACACAGUUUCUUAAUAUGUUCAUCUGUUGCCUAUAAUACACCCCUGCACAGAUCAUGGGCACAUAUAAUGCAUC
rnacentral:misc_RNA from 1 species